rnacentral:misc_RNA from 1 species
GAUGAAGAACGCAGUAAAAUGCGAUAAUUAAUGUGAAUUGCAGAAUUCAGUGAAUCAUCGAGUCUUUGAACGCACAUUGCGCCCCCUGGUAUUCCGGGGGGCAUGCCUGUCCGAGCGUCAUUGCUGCCCUCAAGCACGGCUUGUGUGUUGGGCCCCGUCCUCCGAUCCCGGGGGACGGGCCCGAAAGGCAGCGGCGGCACCGCGUCCGGUCCUCGAGCGUAUGGGGCUUUGUCACCCGCUCUGUAGGCCCGGCCGGCGCUUGCCGAUCAACCCAAAUUUUUAUCCAGGUUGACCUCGGAUCAGGUAGGGAUACCCGCUGAACUUAAGCAUAUCAAUAAGCGGAGGA